rnacentral:rRNA from 1 species
GACGGUCUUGCUGUCACUUAUAGAUGGAUCCGCGCUGCAUUAGCUAGUUGGUAAGGUAACGGCUUACCAAGGCAACGAUGCAUAGCCGACCUGAGAGGGUGAUCGGCCACACUGGAACUGAGACACGGUCCAGACUCCUACGGGAGGCAGCAGUAGGGAAUCUUCCGCAAUGGGCGAAAGCCUGACGGAGCAACGCCGCGUGAGUGAUGAAGGUCUUCGGAUCGUAAAACUCUGUUAUUAGGGAAGAACAUAUGUGUAAGUAACUGUGCACAUCUUGACGGUACCUAAUCAGAAAGCCACGGCUAACUACGUGCCAGCAGCCGCGGUAAUACGUAGGUGGCAAGCGUUAUCCGGAAUUAUUGGGCGUAAAGCGCGCGUAGGCGGUUUUUUAAGUCUGAUGUGAAAGCCCACGGCUCAACCGUGGAGGGUCAUUGGAAACUGGAAAACUUGAGUGCAGAAGAGGAAAGUGGAAUUCCAUGUGUAGCGGUGAAAUGCGCAGAGAUAUGGAGGAACACCAGUGGCGAAGGCGACUUUCUGGUCUGUAACUGACGCUGAUGUGCGAAAGCGUGGGGAUC